rnacentral:rRNA from 1 species
AGAGUUUGAUCAUGGCUCAGGACGAACGCUGGCGGCGCGCCUAACACAUGCAAGUCGAACGAGCGAGAGAGAGCUUGCUUUCUCGAGCGAGUGGCGAACGGGUGAGUAACACGUGAGCAACCUGGCUCUAAGAGGGGGACAACAGUUGGAAACGACUGCUAAUACCGCAUAACGUAUCGGGAUGGCAUCUUUCUGAUACCAAAGAUUUUAUCGCUUAGAGAUGGGCUCGCGUCUGAUUAGAUAGUUGGCGGGGUAACGGCCCACCAAGUCGACGAUCAGUAGCCGGACUGAGAGGUUGAACGGCCACAUUGGGACUGAGACACGGCCCAG